AUAACAGUAGAGGGCCAAUGGUCUUCUUAUUGGAAUGAGAACAAUUUAAACCCCUUAACGAGGAUCAAUUAGAGGGCAAGUCUGGUGCCAGCAGCCGCGGUAAUUCCAGCUCUAAUAGCAUAUAUUAAAGUUGUUGCAGUUAAAAAGCUCGUAGUCGGAUUUUGGGCGCGUGUGAACUGUCAGCCUCUGGUUGGACGGUGCGCGCGUGCCUUUCUGCUUGGGAGCCCCAUGGUGGUUAAUUCUGUCGUGGUGGGUCACAGGCCGUUUACUUUGAAAAAAUUAGAGUGUUCAAAGCAGGCUGUUGCUUGAAUAGAUUAGCAUGGAAUAAUGGAAUAGGACCUUGGUGCUAUUUCGUCGGUUAUGGGACUAGGGUAAUGAUUAAUAGGGACAGUUGGGGCCGUUCAUAUUUCGUUGUCAGAGGUGAAAUUCUUGGAUUUACGAACGAUGAACUUGUGCGAAAGCAUUCGACAAGGAUGUUUUCUUUGAUCAAGAACGAAAGUUAGGGGAUCGAAGACGAUCAGAUACCGUCGUAGUCUUAACCAUAAACUAUGCCAACUAGGGAUCAUUGAGUGUCAAUUUACGACCUCAUUGGCACCUUGUGAGAAAUCAAAGUUUUUGGGUUCCGGGGGGAGUAUGGUCGCAAGGCUGAAACUUAAAGGAAUUGACGGAAGGGCGCCACCAGGAGUGGAGCCUGCGGCUUAAUUUGACACAACACGGGGAAACUUACCAGGUCCAGACAUAGUCAGGAUGGACAGAUUGAAAGCUCUUUCUUGAUUCUAUGGGUGGUGGUGCAUGGCCGUUCUUAGUUGGUGGAGUGAUUAGUCUGGUUAAUUCCGUUAACGAACGAGACCUCAGCCUGCUAACUAGCGAUGCCCAUUUUUAAUGGGUAGCCCGCUUCUUAGAGGAACUAUUCGUGUUCAACGAAUGGAAGUUUGAGGCAAUAACAGGUCUGUGAUGCCCUUAGAUGUUCUGGGCCGCACGCCGCUACACUGAUGGAUGCAACGAGCUCUACCCUUGACCGAAAGGCCCGGGUAAACUUGUCAAAAUCCAUCGUGAUGGGGAUAGAUUAUUGCAAUUCUUGAUCUUCAACGAGGAAUUCCUAGUAAGCGCGAGUCAUCAGCUCGCGUUGAUUACGUCCCUGCCCUUUGUACACACCGCCCGUCGCUCCUACCGAUUGAAUGGUCCGGCGAAAUCUUCAGAUUGCUGGCGAGGCUAACCCCUCGCUGUGAGAAGUUGAU
rnacentral:rRNA from 1 species